GCAGUCGUGGCCGAGCGGUUAAGGCGGCGGACUUGAAAUCCAUUGGGGUCUCCCUGCACAGGUUCGAAUCCUGUCGACUGCG
rnacentral:tRNA from 1 species